UACGGAGGGUGCAAGCGUUGUCCGGAUUUAUUGGGUUUAAAGGGUGCGUAGGCGGGCCUUUAAGUCAGUGGCGAAAGCCGACAGCUUAACUGUCGAAAUGCCAUUGAUACUGGGGGUCUUGAGUACAGUAGAGGUAGGCGGAAUUAAUGGUGUAGCGGUGAAAUGCAUAGAUACCAUUAAGAACACCGAUUGCGAAGGCAGCUUACUAUAGUGUAACUGACGCUGAGGCACGAAAGUGUGGGGAUCAAACAGG
rnacentral:rRNA from 1 species